rnacentral:RNase_P_RNA from 1 species
AUGUUUGAGUAAUCGCUGCUUCAUUUGAAGUAGAGGAAAGUCCAUGCUCGCACAGUCUGCGAUGACUGUAGUGUUCGUGCCUAGCGAAGUCAUAAGCUAGGGUAGUCUGGUCUCGACUGGACUAACGGCAGGGAAAACACCUACGUGAAUUUCGGUUCAUAUGGUGUGAAUACCUUGAAAGUGCCACAGUGACGAAGUCUGUCUGGAAACGGACAGAGUGGAACGGGGUAAACCCCACGAGCGAGAAACCCAAAAUUAGGUAGGGGCAUCCCCAGGAAGGAAUUGAACGGAAUGGGGAACAGACAAUUUGUCUGUAGACAGAUGAUUGCUGCCUGAGUACGAGGGCCGACACCCGUUUGUAGUACGAUGGUACAGAACAUGGCUUACAAAA